CAAAGUGCAACUUUUUAAAGCUUGGCAGAAAAAAAGUGUAAAAAAAAAAUAUAUCACAGAUAACAUUACUUCCUUACAAAUUUAUGAAAAUAACGAAAAAAAUGAUACGAAUAAAAGUUUAAAAAAAGUACAAACUGACAAAAAUAGUUUAGAUAAUAAAUACAAUAUAGAUCAAGAAAAUAUAGAAUGUACUACUGAACAUCCACAAAAUAAUAAAGCUGUAGAAAAGGAAGAGAAUAAUAGUAACCAUAAUGAUGGUAUUAAUACUGUUAAUAAUUGUAGUAAAAGUUAUAGUAGUAAUGCCAAAACAAUAAUUAUAACAACAUCAACGAUAAUAGUUCCAGUAAUAAUAGUACUAGUAAUAGUUCUAGUAAUAAUAGUACUAGUAAUAGUACUAGUAAUAAUAACAUAAAUGUCGUUGAUAAUAUCAUAAGGAUUAGUGACAACAUGAACACUUGUAACAAUGCAAAUUAUAAAACAGAUAACUUCAAAAAUUCUUCGUAUAGUAAAAAAUAAAAUGUGUAGAUUCUUUUAAAUAUGAAAAUAAUAAAGUAAAUUAUAAUAAAAACCAUUUUUUAAAAUAUAAUAAAGAAAAUAACAAAGCAAAUAAAAAUAAUUUUGAUUUUAAUUCCAAUAAUAAUAAGAAUUAUAUAAAAAAAAAAAUAAUUUAAAAAAAAGUGAUGUACUGUCAGAUGUGAAAACAAAAAAUGAUGCAAAUGUAACAGUUUUAGUGGAUGAUGAAGUUAAUAUUAUUGACUCGAAUUUUUAUGAUGGAAAAAAUUCACUUGUCCGAAUUAAUGAGUAUAAUGAUAAUGUUAAUGAAACAAAUAUAAAUAAAAACAAUUAUGUUAAUAAAGGUGGUUAUAAAAGCAAAAGUAGUCAUGAAAAUAAAAGUAGUCAUGAAAAUAAAAGUAGUCAUGAAAAUAAAAGUAGUCAUGAAAAUAAAAGUAGUCAUGAAAAUAAAAGUAGUCAUGAAAAUAAAAGUAGUCAUGAAAAUAAAAGUAGUCAUGAAAAUAAAAGUAGUCAUGAAAAUAAAAGUAGUCAUGAAAAUA
rnacentral:lncRNA from 1 species